CCUACGGGAGGCAGCAGUGAGGAAUAUUGGUCAAUGGGCGCGAGCCUGAACCAGCCACGUCGCGUGAGGGAGGACGGCCCUCCGGGUUGUAAACCUCUUUUGCCGGGGAGCAAAGGGCGUCACGUGUGGCGCCACUGCGAGUACCCGGCGAAAAAGCAUCGGCUAACUCCGGGCCGGCAGCCGCGGUAAUCCGGUGGAUGCGAGCGUUAUCCGGAUUUAUUGGGUUUAAAGGGUGCGUAGGCGGAUCGGUAAUUCAGUGGUCAAAUUGAGGGGCUCAACCCCUUCUCGCCAUUGAAACUGGUGCUCUUGAGUGGAAGAGAAGUAUGCGGAAUGCGUGGUGUAGCGGUGAAAUGCAUAGAUAUCACGCAGAACCCCGAUGGCGAAGGCAGCAUGCCGGCUUCCGACUGACGCUGAAGCACGAAAGCGUGGGGAUCGAACAGGAUUAGAUACCCCGGUAGUC
rnacentral:rRNA from 1 species